UCAAAGACCUUUGUGUUCAUUUCCAUA
rnacentral:piRNA from 1 species